rnacentral:misc_RNA from 1 species
UCCGGUUUGUCACCGGCAGUCUCCCUAGAGUGCCCUUGCGUAGCAACUAGGGACAAGGGUUGCGCUCGUUGCGGGACUUAACCCAACACCUCACGGCACGAGCUGACGACAGCCAUGCAGCAUCUGUGCACGCUCUCUUGCGAGUCCCUUUGGUUACCCAUCAGUACCACGUGCAUGUCAAGCCGAGGUAAGGUUCUGCGCGUUGCAUCGAAUUAAACCACACGCUCCGCUGCUUGUGCGGGCCCCCGUCAAUUCCUUUGAAUUUCAACCUUGCGGCCGUACUCCCCAGGCGGGGCACUUAAUGCGUUAGCUGCGGCACGGAAGGGGUCGAUACCUCCCACACCUAGUGCCCAUCGUUUAGGGCGUGGACUAC